UACGUAGGGUGCGAGCGUUGUCCGGAAUUAUUGGGCGUAAAGGGCUCGUAGGCGGUUUGUCGCGUCUGCUGUGAAAACCUAAGGCUCAACCUUGGGCUUGCAGUGGGUACGGGCAGACUAGAGUGCGGUAGGGGUGACUGGAAUUCCUGGUGUAGCGGUGGAAUGCGCAGAUAUCAGGAGGAACACCGAUGGCGAAGGCAGGUCACUGGGCCGCAACUGACGCUGAGGAGCGAAAGCAUGGGGAGCGAACAGG
rnacentral:rRNA from 1 species